ACGGGUGAGUAACGCGUGGGAACGUACCCUUUACUACGGAAUAACGCAUGGAAACGUGUGCUAAUACCGUAUGUGCCCUAUUGGGGAAAGAUUUAUCGGUAAAGGAUCGGCCCGCGUUGGAUUAGCUAGUUGGUGGGGUAAAGGCCUACCAAGGCGACGAUCCAUAGCUGGUCUGAGAGGAUGAUCAGCCACAUUGGGACUGAGACACGGCCCAAACUCCUACGGGAGGCAGCAGUGGGGAAUAUUGGACAAUGGGCGCAAGCCUGAUCCAGCCAUGCCGCGUGAGUGAUGAAGGCCUUAGGGUUGUAAAGCUCUUUCACCGGAGAAGAUAAUGACGGUAUCCGGAGAAGAAGCCCCGGCUAACUUCGUGCCAGCAGCCGCGGUAAUACGAAGGGGGCUAGCGUUGUUCGGAUUUACUGGGCGUAAAGCGCACGUAGGCGGAUCGAUCAGUCAGGGGUGAAAUCCCAGAGCUCAACUCUGGAACUGCCUUUGAUACUGUCGAUCUGGAGUAUGGAAGAGGUGAGUGGAAUUCCGAGUGUAGAGGUGAAAUUCGUAGA
rnacentral:rRNA from 1 species